CUUCAUGAAGCUGGAAUUGCUAGUAAUGGCAGGUCAGCAUACUGCCGUGAAUACGUUCCCGGGCCUUGUACACACCGCCCGUCACACCAUGAGAGUUGGAAAUACCCGAAGCCUGUGAGCUAACUUAAAGAGGCAGCAGUCGAAGGUAGAGCCAAUGAUUGGGGUGAAGUCGUAACAAGGUAAC
rnacentral:rRNA from 1 species